rnacentral:rRNA from 1 species
AUUCCAGCUCCAAUAGCGUAUACUAAAGUUGUUGCAGUUAAAAAGCUCGUAGUUGAAUUUCUGGAUGCGAAAGAUGGUCGGCACCUCACGGUGUCUGUACUUUUCAUUCGCGUCCAUCCUCGGGAGGAACGUGUGGGGCUUUAAGUAGUUCUGCUCGGGAAUCUCGUCAUUUACUGUGAGCAAAAUAGAGUGUUCAAAGCAGGCUUAUGCCGUUGAAUAUAUUAGCAUGGAAUAAUAAGAUACGACUUUGGUCUAUUUUGUUGGUUUGCAUUCCAAAGUAAUGAUUAAUAGGGAUAGUUGGGGGUAUUCGUAUUCAAUUGUCAGAGGUGAAAUUCUUGGAUUUAUGGAAGACGAACUACUGCGAAAGCAUUUACCAAGGAUGUUUUCAUUA